rnacentral:rRNA from 1 species
GACGAACGCUGGCGGCGUGCUUAACACAUGCAAGUCGAACGGACCUUCUGAUCUUUUGGUUGGUUGGUUAGUGGCGAACGGGUGAGUAACACGUGAGUAACCUGCCCUUCUCUUCGGGAUAACUGUCGGAAACGGUGGCUAAUACCGGAUAUUCAUAUGCUGUCGCAUGGUGGUGUGUGGAAAGAUUUUUUGGUGGGGGAUGGACUCGCGGCCUAUCAGCCUGUUGGUGAGGUAGUGGCUUACCAAGGCUUUGACGGGUAGCCGGCCUGAGAGGGCGACCGGCCACACUGGGACUGAGAUACGGCUCAGACUCCUACGGGAGGCGGCAGUGGGGAAUAUUGCACAAUGGGCGGAAGCCUGAUGCAGCGACGCCGUGUGCGGGAUGACGGCCUUCGGGUUGUAAACCGCUUUCAACUGUGACGAAUUUGACGGUAGCAGUAGAAGAAGCACCGGCUAACUACGUGCCAGCCGCCGCGGUAAUAC